AAAAUGAUACAAAUGAACUUAUUUAUAAAACAGAAAUAGACUCACAGACAUAGAAAACAAACUCAUGGUGACCAAAGCAGAUAGUGGAGGAGAGAGGGAUACAUUUAAAAAAUUAAAUGAAAUACAUUGUUUUUAAGCAGCAUAAAGUUGGGAUCCUUCUCAUCUAAUCUGACAACCUCUGCCUUACAAGUGUGGUGUUUGUCAUUUACAUUCAAUACGAUAUGAUCGGGUUUAAGUCACAUUUGAAGGUAAUAGUGGAGUUUAUGACUGACCGUCUCCAACUUCAGCAUGGACCCAGGCCUGUUUAUAUUCCUGCAUGUUAAAAAUUAGAAGUAAAAAUUCUGAUCAUCUACCUUCUUACACUUGCCUUUAUAAAGUGCAAGUGUAAGAAGGUUACUAACUGCACUAAAGUAACUGAAGUCACAGCAAUAUUUAACAAAAGAGAUGAUAAAUUAAUCCUACAUUCUCCUGUGGAGUUGGAGAAUACUUUAAGUAAGACACAUCUUAAUUGGAAAGUUCUAAUUUUGGGGGGGGGGGCGCCGUGCCCACAGCAAGUGGAAGUUCCCGGGCCAGGGAUUGAACCCAGUGCCACAGCAGUGACAAUGCUAGAUUCCUAACCCACUGAGCCAUGAGGGAGCUCUAGAAAGUUCUGAAUGUUUAUAGACAGUACUAUAUGUGGUGUGCAAAGUUUAUUCAAUAAAUAGCCAUUAAAUUGCAAAAAAAAAAUUUUUUUUUUUAGAGAAAAGUCAAAUUUUUAAAAAGUGGAAAUCAGAGAAAAUGGAAAGGCAUGAGAAGAAGGUAAAAAAAGCUACUGGCAUCACCUGUCUUCUGAAGCAGAAGGAAGAGGGUGCCUGAGGAACUUAGCUUGAAUUAGAAAAUUCCCGACUGAGCCAUGGAGUUAUCGUGUUCCAGGCAUGUGAAAAGGUGGCUGGGAUUAAAUCUUCCAGUGUUAGAGCUACAGGAGGCUCUAGUAUUUUUCUUAUCAACUAUAAAAUGCCUGGAAAAAGGGCCUUAACGCCCCAAUACAAUCAAAGCCUGGAGAUUGCAUAUGUAAUAGUUCCCCAAAAAAGAUUCAUAAUAUGUAGAAGAAAUUUUGCUGAGGAAAGAAUCUUUUUGUUUAUUUUGUUUUUUAGGGCCACACAUGCGGUAUAUGGACGUUCUCAGGCUAGGGUCAAAUCAGAGCUGUAGCUGCCGGCCCACACCACAGCCACAGCAAUGUCAGAUCUGAGCCACAUCUGUGACCUACACUGCAUCUCACGGCAAUGCCGGAUCCUUAACCCGCUGAGCGAGGCUAGGGAUCAAACCUGCAUCCUCAUGGAUCCUAGUUGGGUUUGUUACCUACCACUGAGCCACAGUGGGAACGCUCUGAGGAAAGAAUCUUAACAGAAGUUUUGAAGUUAGCCAACAAGAAAAAUUCAUCUACUCGCUCCUUGAUUCAUUCAUUUGAAAAAUACCAAUUGCAUCCACCAGGGCUUGGGUCCAAUGUCAAGUCCUGAGGUUACAUCUGUGAACAAGGCAUAGUCUAGACACUCAAAAGUGCUCACUUGCAAGUGAGGAGAGCCACCCAUAAGCGGGCCUUGAUCAUGCAAACUGAUGAGAUAGGAGAUGGGAGAGGGCAAAGUGCGGAGGACACACCUGGGAGGCUACCAAGCCCGCCUCCAGAACUCCCUGGGGAGUCGCGUGGCAUGUUUGAUGCCUGCAACUCACCCCAGUGACACUUUGUUAUUCUUUACGGUUAACGUGUAUACAAGGAAGUGAUUAAACAACAUGAGUGGGGUGUGUGUGUUUGUGUUUAUGCACGUAAAAAAGGAUCCUGAACAGAACCACAGCUUGUGACAGGAUAGUAUUUAAAUAUUUAAAUACUGAAGCUCGUGGUUUUAUUUAUUUAUUUAUUUAUGUAUUUGAAGCUGAAGCUCAGAGAAAGGAUUUGAUGUCUUAGACCCCAGGGCUGAGCCGUAUCUGGAACCCAGGUCUCCAAGCUCUCUACAUGCACCGAUUUAAUAUUUACAGCUGUAACCUUUGUACAUCUUACCCAGAAGAAGGGCCCCUGGUCACGGAGGCUCAGAAGACGGAAUCUCUAGGCCAUAUUUGACCACCAAGAAUCUGGGAGAGCCUCAAUUCACUGUCCCGAGUUCCAUCUGCCCAUCUGUAACCUGAGCAAGGGCUUCGCCACGUCGUCUGGUGUCCCCGACAGUUAUUCAGAAUAGAUGAGAGUGUCUUAUCCACAAAUACGCUGAACACAAGUAUUGUUGAAGAAAGGAGUUUAGACACACACACACACACACACACACACACACACACACACACACAUUAUGCCAAUGCAUCGCCCUUCUCAGAUUCAGAAGCCACUGCUGGUGUUCUCCUUACUCCGAGUCUCGGGAGCACUGGCCUGUACAGCUGACAUCAAAAACAGAAUGGUUUCCUAUUGGAAACGACAAUCUAUGAGCUGUUGCAGGACAAGCCCUGGGGUGGGGAGGCUCUGAUCUUCUAGAACCUGCUGGUGGGCUGCUGCUGCAGGUACCCAGCCCUGGACCUGAGCCACGGAACAGACACUGAGGAGGGCAAAGACAGAGAGAACGAACCAACUGACCACGGAAGAUAAUGACCCCAGUGAAACCAAGUGCCUAAAGGGGACAGACGUCCAUGUGGGAGAGGAGGAGAGGAGAGAGGGAGAGAGAGCAACAGAGAGACGUGGAGGAGGAGGAAGAGGAGGAGCAGGAGGGAGGAGGAAACAAGAGAACAGGAGCACGUGGGAGCUUCGAGUCAACAGUCGAGACCCAAAUGAACGACAUGGAAGAUCAAGCUGAAGGACGCUAUGAAGCCUGGAGCAAAUAUUCGAGCCUCACUCUCAGUAAGACAAAGAGCCUGGAUAAAAUCCCUUUAAGGUGAGACUGCACAAAGCAUCGUGCUGGAUCUGCUGGGCAGCUCCCCAGAACUCCAGCCCCUGUGGCCAAUGCCAGGGGGAAGAGUUUGGGGUCUGGUGCGUUCUGGACCCAGAUUCCCAUGGUAGCAUUUAGCCGCUAGAUUAUCCCGAGCCUGGGAGAUGUUGACACCCCCCCCCCUUUCCCUGGGCCAGUGUCAGCCCCAGGCACUGUGCUGAGGUUGUGUAGAAAGGGGCAGGCUCCCCCUGGAGAUCCCCACCCAGGGAUCCCCGGGCAACACUCCUCCAAGGACUUUUCUUCUCUAGGAACUCGCUUCUGUCAGCCUCUCUUGUCUGUCCACUGGCUCCUAAGCCUUCCAUCUGCAAGUUCAGUUUCUAAGUCAACAGGACCCCCAGACAGGCCUCCGGUCCCCUUGGGGGAACUGUCAGGAUCUGUGUGUGUGUGUGUUGCAAGCAAGCUCAUUGCAUGGACCUGGCACAGGCGGGAUCCAGCUCCCUUCCAGGGCCACGUGACCCUGGCAGCAUUACUCACUUGGGUGCCCUCCAGCAGGGGCAGCUGGGGACACCUCCCUAGAGUGACUACAGCGUUUAUCACGGGGAUGACUCAGCCCGCCCGAGCCUCUCUCUCCCUGAAAAGGGAAUCUGAGGCCAGGGCCGGGGUGAGAGUGUCCAUUAGACCAUCUAUAGCCUCGGGAGCCCGGAAACUCCCCUCACCUGGGAAGCACGCAGGACGGACGGACGGGAUGAGUAAAGCUCAGGACCUCCGAGACGUCUCACUUUCACCAUUCAUUCGGGGCGCUGGGAGGUGGAGGCCUCAGCAUUUCCUAACUUAUUUUUUUAUGAAGCACUCGCCUCACCCAGUAGACUGAGAGUGUGCUCCCCGUUGACCUCAGCUCAGAAAGAAGGGAAGUCUGAUGCUAAGCUCCUCUUCCUCUACCACGGGCUCCACGCACCCCAAGACCCCCCGGGAGGUCCCGAUCCUCCUUCAGAACCAGAGCACAAGGACCGUCUUUCAUGCUCUUUUCUUGGUAGAACCUGACCUGUUGCAGAGCCGAGCGCCCCGCCUCUGUCUUGGGCACGUGACAGUCAGCCCUCAGGAACUUAGGUCCAGACCAAUAACGGACUUGUUGGCAUCCCCUCAUCUCCCAGUUAUGAAUUCCUUGGGUUCCGUGUGUCUCUACGUUCCAGUUGGUAGCACCUAACGAGUCUGCUGAAUGGAUUUUCCCUUAGUUUGAAUCCCUGCCUGGUUUGGCCAUAAGAAAACAAAUACCAUUCAUGGGGUGUGUGACAUAGACGCUGGUGCUCCCCAAUUAUUCCAUGAGAUCCUGCAUAUUUUCCAGCCUUCCUGGCACUUAGCAUGGAGCCAGGUGACAAAUUUAAGUUCACGGGCUCAAGGGGGAGUGAAGCAAUGCACAGCACUUGCCACCCGAGGACAUCGAGGAGGCUGAAAGCUGCACGCAUCUGCCGCGGUGGCUGGAAGCGAAGAACGCUGAGACGGUGAAGGGGCCACAGGGAGCAUUGCUAAGCGCACCACUGCUGAAAGGCGGCCACCAGAGAGGAUGGGCUGACCUGUAUCAGACUGCUCCGAAAGUGACAAAUAAGCCUCUGGCUUUGGAGGUUUGCUGCCACAGCAAAACUUAGCUUUACCCUGACCAACCGCGGGUGAGUUUCACAAGCUGAAAGUGUAAGGAGGAGACAAGCCCGUGGAAUAUGACAGCAUCACCGCGGGUGAGUUUCACAAGCUGAAAGUGUAAGGAGGAGACAAGCCCGUGGAAUAUGACAGCAUCACUGGCUAGCAACAUCUUCUGAUAUCCUGGAAUUAGUCGGGAUGGGCCAUGGAUCUGGAUCUGAAACUUUUAAAUCGAAAUGGGGACAAGAGCAUCCCUAUGACGUCAUUGGAGAAUCUGAGGCAUAGAGAAGCGAAGGGAUGGGCUUCUCGGAUUAGGAGUGAGCGAAGCAUGAGAACAGAGACCUCAAUUUCCCCUGGGCUGUUUCCCACCCUUCCUAGUUGGGAUUUCUCCUCCCCCAGCAUUUGUGCCCUUUGAGUUAGUAUUCUAGGCAUGAGACUGACCUAUUUCGAAGUGGGACAGGUUGGCGUCUCUAAAGCGGGUUCCACAGAAGACUCUGUUUUGAAGCAACAUGGUGGUAAAGAGGUUAACACUGAAUGGGAGUUUUACUUCCAGGCAGGGAUCUCGAGCCCUGGUGGAAAGACUGCAGCUGCCCUGUGGCCCAGAUAAUGCAACAUCGGGCUGAGCAAGGACAUCUGAGAACAUUCUGUUCUCCUCCCCCGAGACCAAUUAAAAUCUGGAGGCAUCUUUCUUGUUGAUCGAGCUGACUAACUAAUUGAAACGGAAUUGUGAUAUUUUCAUCAGCUUUCUCUUAUCCCUCUUGGCCUUGCCAGCAGAGAGCAAGUUGAAUGAUCAGAGAGUUUCAAGCAUGUGAGGCCCAGGGAACGGAACCCCUCUCACCGUAAACCACUACAUUUCCACGGAACAAGGUUCGAAAAAGGAUGAUGCGGGGUCGAGAGUAGGGCGAUACGCUCAAAUCUCAGUCUCAGUUCAUCCAGAUACCAAAGAUACCAUCUUCGGGAUUCCUGAUGAACCAUAAAGCUGUCCUUCAGCAGUUGCUGCUCCAAUAAACCAGCUUCUGACCUCUGCCUUCCUAACGAACAUCCCUCUGCCUGACUGCGGAAGCUCCUAGAAACAAAGAACCAAACGCCUCUGAGGCCCAACAAGAUCCCUUUCCUUCCAUUGAGCUAGAAUGUAUUUCCUCGGCACGUGCAAAUGGCCUAGUGGUUAAUCUUAGCAAUUGUCCCAAAGGACAUCCAAGCCUCUGGGAAUGGGUUACAUGAUUGAGAUUGCAGGACCUUUUUCUGCUUCAGCAUGAAGACCUGCAUGUUAGCAUUUGUGAGGAGAGCUCAAGAUGGGGGGAAGUCCUCUUGGCUCCUGAUCUAAGGAAGAGCUGCGUCUUAAGCAUUGGUAGAAUUGCUCAUGUGUCCAGUGUGAGGUGGCCUUGGCUGACAAGCUAUCAAAAUAAAUAAAUAACAAGAAAAU